CCCAGCGACCAUGGCGUCACGGCGGGCUUGCUCGCCGGCGCGCGCGUGCGUGCUUCGAUGCGCGGCGCUCCGUCGAGCUGGCCGGACCGUGACGCGCGCGUGAUCUGCCUAGGGUUUGCGGUGGCGGCGCUACACCCGGCCACGGGUCUCCGGCUAUCAGGAAGGCAACGGCGCCGAUCGAUUCGAUCCUUAAGGACACCCCUGGAUCUUGCUGCAGGAGGUGGGUGUCAGAGAACCAACCUGAGGCACGAGCUAGCCUCCAAUUCUUGGGCUCCCGGACAACAAGGACAUCUCUGAACCUUCUCUCUGAAAAACACAAGACACACACACGAGCUUGUUGUCUCUCUACCUCUCUGUGUUUUAUUCAGUAGAACGACAGGCGGUGGCAGAAAGAGCCAUUCCACUACGAAUCUCUUAUGAGAGGGCCAGCAAAAGGUGAUCAAUCAAUGGAGACGAAGUAUUUGUCAAAUUGUUUGCAAGGGUGAUUGCCGCUUCUUUGUUCUGCCGGUGGAGAUUCAGUGUGUCAUUGCAAAUUCCUUACACUGGCAGUGUAUCAUAGCAAGUUCCUUACACCAGCAAAGCUUGGAGGAUAUUUUUACAGGUUCAACGCUUGCUUUAUUGCUUUCUUACCUUUCGUUCUUCAAGACAAUAUUUUCCUAGCAGUGCUCGAUAACUUUAAAUCCAUAUUUUUGUUCUUUGCAUUAUCACAAAACGGUGUUGUUCUAUCUUUUUGUUUUUUGAUUGAUCAUCAGCAACGACAAUGCAACCUACAUGUCCUACUUUUACUACUGUGCUUACCAUCAGAACCACAGCCCGAUGAGAACAUUCUGAACUAACAGAAGAUGGCUUGCUUCCCUUUUAUGGUACAUGCUUGGGAAUACUAAUUAUAGCUGACAGAAAACUUAUACAGAACUGAAUCAAAAGAAGCUGCUUUCAUUUUAAGAAUUUUUUGAAUCCUAAAAAAUGUGAAAUCUAUCUAAGGAAGUGCUUAUCACAUCGACACACAGCGAGUGCUUAGUCACAAUUUUACAUACAAUAUUGCUCAGUCCCCAUCAUAUAAACUGAUACCAUUUCAUUUUCAUUCCCUGCACUCUAUCUUCCUAUUUGAUCCUACAAUUGGCCUCAUUUAGUGUACUAUUACCUUUUCUUUUCACUGCGAGAUGCAUGCCUCAUUACCUGUAUGUGCCAUUCUGUAAAGGGAGUCCAGUACUAGCUAAUUUCACUUAGUACAAGAUGUAUGCCUGAUUAUCUGUGUGCGGUGGUUUGCCGAACGGGCCCUUACUAUCUAACAAUAAUUCUUCUUCCAUUCGAAGUGUUGUGAUUUCCAAACUCAAUAUUUUAGCAUAUUAUUUUCACCAAGCAUGAUGUGAUAUUGUAGAGUUUUAGGAUGAUGUGAAGCUCAUGGCUGCCAUGAACCGACAAGCUUAUAUAUUCACACUGUUAAAGUUUUAUCACUGCUGCUUGCCCGGUUACUCUCCUCUCAGACUGCAUAAUUGAAUUACCUCAAUAUUAUGUUCUAUUCUGUCCAAUCUCAUAUAUGCCGUUCCCAUUACAAACAAAUAUCUUUCUUAUUUCUCACAAUAACAAUUCUCUCAACACAUGCUCCACAGCACGACGACGACGAGCAUACGGAGACAUCAUCCGGAGUAAGUAUGUGCUCUGUUCAUAAUGUUUAGUAUGACCGGAAAGAAAACAACAACCUGCGGCUGCAGAGAUCAUAGUGUACAAAAUGGUGGCGAAGGUUACAUAUAGGGGACUGCUAUUACUUUUUUAGGCAAAAUUCUGAGUGCUUUAUGCAAGUGGUUGUCAUACGUUCAGAUUUGUAUAUUCUGUUGCUCUCGUUUAAUUUGCAGUAAGCUGACUUCGUUUCACUUUUGAUUUCUGUUGGUUAGUACAUCCUAAAGAUUGGUAAUGGAGAUGCUACCGAGUGCAUGAGUGGAUUCAUAGCCAUGGGCAUUCCUCCUCCCUAUGGACCUAUCUGGUAAAAUUAUGCGCGGCUUAUGUUCUCAGAGCCUUCUGCUUUUAUCGACAUUGACCUCUUAGUGUACUAUUGCACUCAUAACACAGACGAGUUAGUAAUUAAGGUUUCUUCAUCUGUGAGAUUUAUCUGCAGUCGUUGGGAGCACGAAACACCUCUGAAAUACUGAAAGCGAAUGUUCCACGAAACUGCUGUGCUGACUCUAACAGUGAGGACUUGCUGUCGUAGGAUCUUGGGCGAUAUAUUCAUGGGAGCCUACCAUGCCGUAUUCGACUAUGGCAAUACGAAGGUUGGGUUCGCGAAGGCGGCAUAGGGCUCCCCCGUGGUGGAUGGAUGAGCUGCAGAGCUGCCUAAUCUUCAGAUCGGUUUCGUCUUCGUCAAAGCAUGUAUAUGCAUAUGUUAGAUGCUUAAUAAUAAUUGUGUGAUCUGGGAUAAUAAACCUGUCUGUUAUGAUUUGUCCAAUAUA